UACGUAGGUGGCAAGCGUUGUCCGGAUUUACUGGGCGUAAAGAGCGCGCAGGCGGUCGGGUAAGUCGAAUGUGAAAGCCCCCGGCUUAACUGGGGAGGGUCAUUCGAUACUGUUCGACUUGAAGGCAGGAGAGGGCAGCAGAAUUCCCGGUGUAGUGGUGAAAUGCGUAGAUAUCGGGAGGAAUACCAGUGGCGAAGGCGGCUGCCUGGCCUGUUCUUGACGCUGAGGCGCGAAAGCUGGGGGAGCAAACGGG
rnacentral:rRNA from 1 species